GCUUCUGUGGUAGCAUUGAGAUCAGUGUGCAUUGUUGAUUUGUUGCAUUCUUUGGAGAUUUUACCCUUUGGAUUAGAAGC
rnacentral:snoRNA from 1 species